UAUUAUUUCUAUUUCUAUUUUGAGAUUUAAUGAUUUAUUAAAAUUCUAGAAAAUAGUCUCUUUAUAUUUUAUUCUUGAGAUUAUGUGUAGGGGAUUGCAGGAGUCUGAAAUUGCGCCUAGAUCAGAUUUUAUUAUUGAGUGGAUAAUACAGAUUUAUUUAUUUAUUUUAUUUGGGCCUUAGGAUGAAUUAAUUUGUUGUAUAUAAUUAUUGGGCUUUAGUUUAUGUUAGUAGGCUAGGUAUAUGACCUACUUUAAUUUUAUCUGAUAUAAUAUCAGAACAUCAGUAUUUCCGUAAUCAGUUCCGAUAAUUUAAAUGAACCGUUCCUAUCGCUGUGAACGUGUGAAAACCGUUCCGAUUCCCUCUCCUUUUCUGAAAACUUGCACAAACGGUUUCACAAACUGAUCGUCGAAAAAUUCUCAUUCUUCGACUUUAUAUUCUGCCAUCUUCUUUUCUUUUCACAACCAUUCAAAAGCUCUCAAAAAUUCUCUUUGUUUAAGUUCUUCAAGUAUUCAAGUUUUAGUUGUUGCCAGGAAAUCAAGAAAUCUGGUGCGGCGCAAUUAGGAUCUCUAUCCCCGAGUUAAGCAUUAGUCAAGUUUAUUACCAAGGAUUUGAGGUGAGGAGCAAGGAGAUGCGUGAUGGAUGUGUGUGGUGCUUAGGGUAUUUUAAUCAUGUUUUCUAUAGUAUUAUUAAAGACUCUUUGUUGGUUAAAAAAAAAAAUUUAGGAUUUGAAGUUUAGUUUAUUUUGAUGGUAAAGUUUAAGAGUUUCUAGUGAAUCAUAUUUGACUUUCUUACAUUAUGUUAAGUACUUUGAUAAAUUAGUGUUAUGUUUUAUGUCUAGUGUGUAUGGUAUUUUUCUAAAAAUGAUUUUUGGUCAAUUUACUUUCGAUUAUUAGGUUC